CCCUUAGAUGUCCUGGGCUGCACGCGCGCUACACUGACACGUUCAACGAGUUUUGCCUGCUCCGAUGGGACUGGGUAAUCUUAUGAAAGCGUGUCGUGAUGGGGAUAGAUUAUUGCAAUUAUUAAUCUUCAACGAGGAAUUCCUAGUAAGUACAAGUCAUCAGCUUGUGCUGAUUACGUCCCUGCCCUUUGUACACACCGCCCGUCGCACCUACCGAUUGGAUGGUCCGGUGAAGCCUCGGGAUUGUGGUUCUUGCCGCUUUAUUGUGGCGUGACCGCGAGAACUUGUCUAAACCUUAUCAUCUAGAGGAAGGUGAAGUCGUAACA
rnacentral:rRNA from 1 species